ensembl:lncRNA
CUGGUAUAGACUGAGUGCUUGUACCCCUCCUCCCACAUUCAUAUGUUGAAAUCUUUAUUAUAAUUAAUAUUAGGAGAUGGGACCUUAGAAGUAAUUAGGUCAUGAGGUGAUGCCCUCAUGGAUGAGGUUAGUGUUCUUAAAAAAGAGGUCCUAAGAGAUCCCUUGUCCUUUCUACCAGGUAAUGUUAUAGUAAAAGAUGGUUGUCUGGGACGAGAGCCCUCACCAGACACUAAAUCUAUUUAGAAAGAAUUAGAAAGUUUAACUCACCUAUCAAGUUAUGCAUAGAAUGCAAGAAAUUCGAGGGCGCAGACAAAAUGUGCCAUGAGUGAUGGCCUUGGGUGAUCUACAGACAUCCCUGGCUCUAGCAGUCAUUUGUGUGGGGAGUAAGAUCGCUACAGAAGUUUUGGAAAUAUGUCCAGACAUGGAGGUGCUGCAGAGGAAGGAGGGAGAAUAUGCCUUUCUGCAGAUCUUUCUUGGAAGAGAGGCUGGAGUGCAGUGGGGCAAUCUUGGCUCACUACAAAUUCUGCCUCCCAGGUUCGAGUGACUCUCCUGCCUCAGCCUCCUGAGUAGCUGGGAUUAGAGGCCUGCACCAACAUACUCAGGUAAUUUUUAUGUCUUUAGUAGGGAGGGGAUUUUGCCAUGUUGGCCAGGUUGGUCUCAAACUGCUGGCCUCAAGUGAUCCACUUGCCUCGGCCUCCCAAAGUGUUGAAAUUACAGGUAUAAGCCACCACACCUGGCCUUCCUAUACUGUUAGUUAAGGCAUAAACAGAAUAGCAGAGAUUAGGGGGAUACUCACCAAUUCCUUUCAUCUUGUGAGGCACACUUGGAAAUCUAAAUUUCCUACCCUUCCUUGCAGGUAGGUUGGAGAUAUGUGCCAGGUACUGGUCAAUGAAAUGGGGACAAAAAGUGAUACAGAAUACUUCCAACUCUCACAUAAAUUUCUCUAGAUAAUUUUCUUUGCUCUUUCUUUUCCUUUCAUGUAGAGAAGGAAUUCAUAUGCUGGAAUAAUAGCGACACAGGCUAUAAGGAGCCUGGAUCCCUGAGUCAUCAUAUGGAGGAGAACUACUCAGAGGAGUCAUCCAACCCUCAUAGGUGGCAUGAGUGGGAAUUAAACAUUAUGUUAAGCCAUUACAGUUUGGGGUUGUUUGUUACAGAAGUGUUCAUUCUCCCUUAUUGACCCACCUACUGAAUUCCAAAAUUUGGGUAGGCACUGAUAGCAGCCCAUAAAGUAGGCACCUGGGUAGACAUACAAAGAUUACAGUUUAUAGAAGCUUGAUCCUUUAAGAAAUCUGAUUUGUGUGAUCGAGGACAGUGCUGAUAAUAUCUCAACAGACACUUGGCCUAGUGCUUCUGUAGUUAUUAAGAUGACAGUUCCAUGGGAGUCUUUGCUAUAGUUAUUGGAGGGGAUCUUUCUGUUGCUCCACAGACCAUUUUUUGGGUUAGGAUCAGCUUCUUGCUUAUGUAGAGACAGGGACUUCAGUCAGAGGAUCAGGGAGUACAUUUGGGAUGGGAUGCUCAGGGGCCCAGCUCCAACUUACAUAGAGCCUGCAUUUAGUUGCUUUUUGACAGCAACUGAACAGGAUAGAAGUUUGUUGUGUUUUUUUUUAACUUACAUACACUGUGGCCAUUCAGCCUUUCUGAGUUCAUCAUUGCAAGGGCUUUCUCAAUUCCUACAUGUUAGAAAGGGGAAUCACCCAAAUAGAAAACUUCUAGCUUGAGUGAUUAAAGGAAGAUGUAACCAAGUGGAUUUGAUUACAUCUUCUCGGACGCUGGGUCCUUCCAACACCCCUUUAGUGCCCUCUUUCAGCCUCCAGAGUACCAGUGCUUCAGAGAUUUUAUCCUACAGAAUCCUUAUAAUAACUUCCUAUGAGGUAGAUUGUAUUAUCUCCAUUUCACAGAUAAAUCUGACGCAAAAAUAAAUUGCAGUGAUUUACCCUGAAUCACAUGUCCAAUAAGUGGUAGAGCUUAUUAAAGAAUGAACCUUUAUUUUUGCAGCUCCACUGGUGGGGCUAUAGAAUAAAACCUAAGUUUCUUCAUGCUGGGAGAUUUAAAUUGGAAGCAGAUAAGUUUGGGAAAUAGCAUCAAAUAUGCAGGGAAAGUUGCUUAAUUUAAUAUUAAUCUCAUAAUUAAGUCAAAGGUCAAGGUUUAUUUCAAAUUAAAUUUAUCAUGAGCUUAGGAAAACCUCUUUAUGGUUUUGGUAAAUUGUCAUCUUUCAAAUGAAUCUCCUGACUUUCCCAGUGCAAAAAGUUCUCUGCAUGGCCACAUUAAGAGAAAGAAAGACAUAGAGCUACAAUUCAUGCUUUUGUUAA